CAGGCCACGUCACUUCACCAGG
rnacentral:misc_RNA from 1 species